rnacentral:rRNA from 1 species
UUUUAUUUGAGAGUUUGAUCCUGGCUCAGGAUGAACGCUGGCGGCGUGCCUAACACAUGCAAGUUGAGCGAUUUACUUCGGUAAAGAGCGGCGGACGGGUGAGUAACGCGUGGGUAACCUACCCUGUACACACGGAUAACAUACCGAAAGGUAUGCUAAUACGGGAUAAUAUAUUUGAGAGGCAUCUCUUGAAUAUCAAAGGUGAGCCAGUACAGGAUGGACCCGCGUCUGAUUAGCUAGUUGGUAAGGUAACGGCUUACCAAGGCGACGAUCAGUAGCCGACCUGAGAGGGUGAUCGGCCACAUUGGAACUGAGACACGGUCCAAACUCCUACGGGAGGCAGCAGUGGGGAAUAUUGCACAAUGGGCGAAAGCCUGAUGCAGCAACGCCGCGUGAGUGAUGAAGGCCUUCGGGUCGUAAAACUCUGUCCUCAAGGAAGAUAAUGACGGUACUUGAGGAGGAAGCCCCGGCUAACUACGUGCCAGCAGCCGCGGUAAUACGUAGGGGGCUAGCGUUAUCCGGAUUUACUGG